GGAUGUGAUCAUACCAGCACUAACGCACCGGAUCCCAUCAGAACGUCGAAGUUAAGCGUGCUUGGGAAAGAGUUGUACUAGGAUGGGUGACCUACUGGGAAGGCCUCGUGUUGUAUCCC